UACGGGGGGGGCAAGCGUUGUUCGGAAUUACUGGGCGUAAAGGGCUCGUAGGCGGCCAACUAAGUCAGACGUGAAAUCCCCAGGCUCAACCUGGGAACUGCAUCCGAUACUGGAUGGCUUGAAUCCGGGAGAGGGAUGCAGAAUUCCAGGUGUAGCGGUGAAAUGCGCAGAUAUCAGGAGGAACACCGGUGGCGAAGGCGGGUCUCUGGGCCGAUACUGACGCUGAGGAGCGAAAGCGUGGGGAGCAAACAGG
rnacentral:rRNA from 1 species